CCUUUCUCACUUGCUUUCGAUAAUGUGUGGUUGAUGUUCUUGCUUAUUUUUUCUUUUUCGAUCCGUGUUUGUGUUCUUUUGGGGGUUUGUUCAUGUUACGGUUAAAUGAUAGCCUUGAACAUUAAAUAAAUCCGCUUGCCAUUUCUGUUUCAAUUAGGAGGCUGUAGGAUUUUGUUUUAGAUGCAGAUGCUUUUACUAGAAAUUUCGGUAAUAGGUUGUAGCAAUUUUUUUGAGUAUGGCCCCUAUGUUAUCGUUGAUUUGUUUUGUGUCAAUUGUAUGAUAACGAUUCGUACUGAUACUGCUAUGGUAGCCCAUCGGUUUUGUCGGAAAAAUCUUAAACAUAA
rnacentral:lncRNA from 1 species